UGACCAUCAUCUGUCAGGUCUCUAUGCAAACUCAGUGACCUUCCUUGUUACUCAGCUAUAAAAACUUCACAUCAGACUGUCAGUGGAGUUCACAGCACGUCAGUUUCACCAUCAACCAUGUUUUCUGUAGCUCUGCUGCUGCUGUUGGCAGCUGGAUCCUGUGUGAAGUGUGAACAGUUGACACAGCCAGCCUCUGUGACUGUGCAGCCAGGUCAACAUCUGACCAUCACCUGUCAGGUCUCUUAUUCUGUCAGCAGCUACUUCACAGCUUGGAUCAGACAGCCUGCAGGGAAAGAAAUGGAGUGGAUUGGAUAUGCAGCUGGAUCCAACGCAUACUACAAAGAUUCACUAAAGAGCAAAUUCAGUAUCAGCACAGACUCUUCCAGCAACACAGUGACUCUCAAUGGACAGAAUCUACAGCCUGAAGACACUGCUGUGUAUUACUGUGCCAGAUACACACAACAACACAAACCAUCUGUAGACCUGAACAAAAACCCCUCAGUGCCUGAACACUUGUAACAUGAAGCCACCAG